rnacentral:rRNA from 1 species
GAAUGAUGGUGACCUAAACCCUCACCAGAGUAACAAUUGGAGGGCAAGUCUGGUGCCAGCAGCCGCGGUAAUUCCAGCUCCAAUAGCGUAUAUUAAACUUGUUGCAGUUAAAAAGCUCGUAGUUGAAUUUCUGCGUUAUCGAGUUAUUGACUCUUGUCUUUAAUCGAUUUCGCUUUUGGGAUUUAUCCCUUUUUACUUUGAGAAAAUUAGAGUGUUUCAAGCAGACUUUUGUCUUGAAUACUUCAGCAUGGAAUAAUAGAGUAGGACUUUGGUUCUAUUUUGUUGGUUUUUGAACCUUAGUAAUGGUUAAUAGGAACGGUUGGGGGCAUUCGUAUUUAACUGUCAGAGGUGAAAUUCUUAGAUUUGUUAAAGACGAACUACUGCGAAAGCAUUUGCCAAGGACGUUUCCAUUAAUCAAGAACGAAAGUUAGGGGAUCGAAGACGAUCAGAUACCGUCGUAGUCCUAACCAUAAACUAUGCCGACUAGGGAUUGGAGGUCGUCAUUUUUCCGACUCCUUCAGCACCUUGAG